rnacentral:tRNA from 1 species
UUUACAAUAGCUUAAUGGGAAAGCAUUUGGUUGUUAACCAAAAAUUUAUCAGUUCGACCCUGGUUUGUAGAG